GUAAGUUUUUACAACCAUAUAUUUGCUUAAAUGUUUACUAUGUUGAGCCUAAAAUAACUAAUAAGACAACUAUUUAUCAGAGAUUAGGAUACAUUUCUAUACAAUUUGAAUGAGUGUAAGAAUAUAAAUAAAAUUGUGCACUUUUUAAACUUAGUGGGGAGAAUUACUACAAUACCGUCCCACUCGGAUGCUAAAAAUAUCAAACUUUACAUUCGUUGUUUUUAUGAAGUGAAUUGGCAAGAUCAGUUAGAUACUUAAUCAUACCUAUUACUGAUCUUAUAUUUUAUUUAACUUUUUAAAUUUUUUUACUCAUUUUAAUUCUUAAAUUAAUUAAAUAGACGCAUAUUUAUUUUUUUUAAAUUUUGAUUUAAUUAAAUAUUGUGAAAAAAAAAAUUGGAGAAUAAGUGAAAAUACAAGUACUGGAGACUUCACAGAUUACAUGGCCGUCGGAAGAAAUCACUAAAACACAAACGUUGUCGGUUGGACUAUCGGCGUACCGGAAGUUCUGGGACUCGACGGAAGCGAUGCCGAGAAAAAUAACACUCAUAGAACACGAAACUGCGUUUGGCCACAAUUCGGACGGUUUAAUCGAUCGAAACGAAUAACGAUUGUCGAAUGUCGAUCCGUUUGGUUUAAUGGUUUCUGAUACAGUCGACGAAAAAGACGUAUAAUAUUGUGUGUAGUAAUAUAAUACCAGGUAAACGGUGUAUAGUUGAUUGUUGAUGUAAUAAUAUUAUAAAAAUUAUUAUUAUUAUUAA